CACGUAGGGCGCAAGCGUUUGUCCGGAAUUAUUGGGCGUAAAGAGCUCGUAGGCGGUCUGUUGCGUCCGCUGUGAAAACUCGGGGCUUAACCCCGAGCCUGCAGUGGAUACGGGCAGACUAGAGGUAGGUAGGGGAGAAUGGAAUUCCCGGUGUAGCGGUGAAAUGCGCAGAUAUCGGGAGGAACACCGGUGGCGAAGGCGGUUCUCUGGGCCUUACCUGACGCUGAGGAGCGAAGGCCAGGGGAGCAAACGGG
rnacentral:rRNA from 1 species